CUAACACCAUAAUCUAACCCAGUCUAACCCUAACUCCAUAGUCUAACCCAGUCUGACCCUAACACCACAGUCUAACCCAGUCUAACCCUAACACCACAGUCUAACCCAGUCUAACCCUAACUCCAUAGUCUAACCCAGUCUAACCCUAACACCACAAUCUAACCCAGUCUAACCAUAACUCCACAGUCUAACCCAGGCUAAUCCUAACACCACAGUCUAACGCUGUCUAACCCUAACAUCACAGUCUAACCCUAACUCCACAGUCUAACCCAGUCUAACCCUAACACCACAGUCUAACCCUGUCUAACCCUAACACCACAGUCUAACCCAGUCUAACCCUAACUCCACAGUCUAACCCAGUCUAACCCUAACUCCACAGUCUAACCCUAACUCCACAGUCUAACCCAGUCUAACCCUAACUCCAUAGUCUAACCCAGUCUAACCCUAACUCCACAGUCUAACCCAAACUCCACAGUCUAACCCAGUCUAACCCUACCACCACAGUCUAACCCAGUCUAACCCUGACAACAGUCUAACCCUAGCGCCACAGUCUAAACCAGUCUAACCCUAAUGCCCCAGUCUAACCCUAACACCACAGUCUAACCCAGUCUAACCCUAACACCAGUCUAACCCUAACACCACAGUCUAACCCAGUCUAACCCUAACACCACAGUCUAACCCAGUCUAACCCUACCACCACAGUCUAACCCAGUCUAACCCUGACAACAGUCUAACCCUAGCGCCACAGUCUAAACCAGUCUAACCCUAAUGCCCCAGUCUAACCCAGUCUAACCCUUACACCACAGUCUAACCCUAACGCCCCAGUCUAACCCAGUCUUACCCAACUAACCCAGGCUAACCCUAACUCCACAGUCUAACCCAGUCUAACCCUAACUCCACAGUCUAACCCAGUCUAACCCUAACGCCACAGUCUAACCCAGAAUAACCCUAACACCUCAGUCUAACCCAGUCUAACCCUAACUCCAUAGUCUAACCCAGUCAAACCCUAACUCCACAGUCUAACCCUAACUCCACAGUCUAACCCUAACUCCACAGUCUAACCCUAACUCCACAGUCUAACCCUAACUCCACAGUCUAACCCUAACUCCACAGUCCAACCCUAAUUCCAUAGUCUAACCCAGUCUAACCCUAACUCCACAGUCUAACCCAGUCUAACCCUAACACCACAG
ensembl:lncRNA